UGGGGAAUAUUGCACAAUGGGGGAAACCCUGAUGCAGCGACGCCGCGUGAGUGAAGAAGUAUCUCGGUAUGUAAAGCUCUAUCAGCAGGGAAGAAAAUGACGGUACCUGACUAAGAAGCCCCGGCUAACUACGUGCCAGCAGCCGCGGUAAUACGUAGGGGGCAAGCGUUAUCCGGAAUUACUGGGUGUAAAGGGUGCGUAGGUGGUAUGGCAAGUCAGAAGUGAAAACCCAGGGCUUAACUCUGGGACUGCUUUUGAAACUGUCAGACUGGAGUGCAGGAGAGGUAAGCGGAAUUCCUAGUGUAGCGGUGAAAUGCGUAGAUAUUAGGAGGAACAUCAGUGGCGAAGGCGGCUUACUGGACUGAAACUGACACUGAGGCACGAAAGCGUGGGGAGCAAACA
rnacentral:rRNA from 2 species